rnacentral:rRNA from 1 species
UACGAAGGGGGCGAGCGUUGUUCGGAUUUACUGGGCGUAAAGCGCGUGUAGGCGGCCUUGUAAGUCCGCCGUCAAAUCCCAGGGCUCAACCCUGGACAGGCGGUGGAAACUACCAAGCUGGAGUACGGUAGGGGCAGAGGGAAUUUCCGGUGUAGCGGUGAAAUGCGCAGAUAUCGGGAGGAACACCGGUGGCGAAGGCGGUUCUCUGGGCCUGUACUGACGCUGAGGAGCGAAAGCGUGGGGAGCGAACAGG